CUUAGCAAUAAAAAAAACACAACUGAUUUAUCUAUUCGUUUAUUUUUGUCUGUGUGUGGGUGUGGAUAUUGUCUGUCAUAGGACAAGUUCUUUACUGUAGAUUUGUCUACUAGGUAAACAUCCUUCUUGAUGAGCUAAGAAUCCAAGAUGGAAUUCUGUAAUAAAGUAGGCCUCAGUAGUACUUAGAUCCUGCAACUAAUUAUAUGUUUGUGAUGAGGACAUCGUUAGGUGGUCCAGCGUGAAGUACUUGCUUUUAUUCUAACCUGUUAAAAAUGUGUUUUGUUUCUGCUGCAGAUGGUUGAGCCAAUGUUGAAGGCAGCUAUCGAGAUAUCUACACUGCUCGCUCGAUCAUUUUUCAUGGGAUUUUCUCUGACUAUUUUAGCGCUGCUUGCACGA